AAUAAGAUGUUACCUUCAAGCAACUUGUAAAUUCUUCCCUUGGAAAAUGUGUGUGCUGGAUGUAAGGCUACUAGAUGACAGCCUGCAACAUGGACCAGUCAUUUGGAUGCUGAAUGGAAACUGGAUAGAGUGAUAAAGAUCACUGUAUAAGCAGCUGUGGAGAAAAGGAGCAGAGACACCUCUGGCAAA